CGAUAUGAGGGACGAUGCAGCAGCAUAGUGGACGAUUGAACGAGGUGGGGCGGGCUUCAAAAUGUCAGAACGUCGCUCAAGAAAGGUGAGACCAAAACAGCAAUGCCGACGUGCUCCAUUGAGUGAUGACUUGGAUCCUGCGUGGCUGGCUAUGCCGCCUUGGCAUGGAACAACAGCGACAGAUGGCGUGGCAGUCG